GACGAACGCUGGCGGCGUGCCUAAUACAUGCAAGUAGAACGCACAGUUUAUACCGUAGCUUGCUACACCAUAGACUGUGAGUUGCGAACGGGUGAGUAACGCGUAGGUAACCUGCCUGGUAGCGGGGGAUAACUAUUGGAAACGAUAGCUAAUACCGCAUAAUAUUGAUUAUUGCAUGAUAAUUUAUUGAAAGAUGCUAUUGCAUCACUACCAGAUGGACCUGCGUUGUAUUAGCUAGUAGGGGAGGUAACGGCUCACCUAGGCGACGAUACAUAGCCGACCUGAGAGGGGGAUCGGCCACACUGGGACUGAGACCCGGCCCAGACUCCUACGGGAGGCAGCAGUAGGGAAUCUUCGGCAAUGGACGAAAGUCUGACCGAGCAACGCCGCGGGAGUGAAGAAGGUUUUCGGAUCGUAAAGCUCGGUUGUAAGAGAAGAACGGGUGUGAGAGUGGAAAGUUCACACUGUGACGGUAUCUUACCAGAAAGGGACGGCUAACUACGUG
rnacentral:rRNA from 1 species